rnacentral:rRNA from 1 species
AUUGAACGCUGGCGGCAUGCUUUACACAUGCAAGUCGAACGGUAACAGGCCUUCGGGUGCUGACGAGUGGCGAACGGGUGAGUAAUGCAUCGGAACGUACCCAGAGGUGGGGGAUAACGCAGCGAAAGCUGUGCUAAUACCGCAUGUGAUCUGAGGAUGAAAGCGGGGGACCGAGCAGCAAUGUUUGGCCUCGCGCCUUUGGAGCGCCGAUGUCGGAUUAGCUAGUUGGUGGGGUAAAGGCCUACCAAGGCGACGAUCCGUAGCUGGUCUGAGAGGACGACCAGCCACACUGGGACUGAGACACGGCCCAGACUCCUACGGGAGGCAGCAGUGGGGAAUUUUGGACAAUGGGCGCAAGCCUGAUCCAGCAAUGCCGCGUGCGGGAAGAAGGCCUUCGGGUUGUAAACCGCUUUUGGCAGGAACGAAACGGUGUCCGCUAAUACCGGGCGCUAAUGACGGUACCUGCAGAAUAAGCACCGGCUAACUACGUG